AAUGCUACUGGCUUGCAAUUGUUUGCAUGAUGUGUUAUUUUUAUUUGCACAUUGGGUGUUUGACGGUCUUUUUUUAAAAUACGGGCUCUUUUGUGUUUCUUUGUUUCACAGUUGCUUAUUAGGAGACAAAUAACAAGGUUGUACAAUAUAUACAUACUCUGAUAAUAAAUGCACUGAACUUUGACAAUUAGAAACCCUGCAUCUAGCAGGUUCCCUUUAAUGGCAUCUAUAAAUACUGCUCACUGAGUGAGCCAUUCAAAUCCAUUAAACACAAUUUAUAAAACAUUGCUAGAUCAGGUGACCACAUUCAUUACCUUUUAACAAAAAGCACUUAAGGUAGAAAAACAUUCUAAAGAAUUUCACAUAAGUGUACUUAUCUCACUGGGUGUUUAAAGCCUACGUGUGCAAUUUGCCUUGUUUUAUUUACUUAUAUUUAGAGAUACAGUUCAGAACAAGCCCUUCUGGCCGAAUAAGCCACUCUGCCCAACCCACCCUAUUUAGCCCAAGCCUAGUCACAGGACAAUUUACAAUGACCAAUAAAUCUACCAACUGGUAGGUCCUUAGAAUGUGGGAGGAAACACGAGAAGGACAUACAAACUUCUUACAGAUGGCAUCAGAAUUGAACUCCAACACACUGAGCUGUAAUAGCAUCGUGCUAACAACUAUCAUGGCCACUGUUAAGCCACUGGUGAGGAGAGAAAUGAAGAAUAGGAUAUCGAAGAUCCUUACAGGCAAUUGUGCCAUGAAGGAAAGUUAUUGUAGCAAUCUGGCAACAUCAGGAAAGAGACAAGGCAGUCCCAAUGUUGGAAGGAAAUACAGUGGAUUCUGGUUAAUUGGGACACAUCGGGAGAGAAAGUGAAUGGGGAAAAGCCAAUAUACAAGGUAACUCCAAGAAACACAAAAGAAUCAACGAAAAACAGCACCCAACUGGACGGACAACCAAUGAGCAAAAGAUAACAAACUAUACAAAUACAAAAAAAAGCAGUACAUAUCAAGAACACGGGAUGAAGAGUCCUUGAAAGUGAGUCCAUAGGUUGAGGGGGCAAGUGAAGGCAAGUUAUCUCCUCUGUUUCAAGAGCCUGAUUGUUGAGGGGUAAUAACUGUCCCUGAGCCUGUUGGUGUGAGUCCUGAGGUUCCUGUACCUUCUU